UGGGGAAUCUUGGACAAUGGGCGCAAGCCUGAUCCAGCCAUGCCGCGUGAGUGAAGAAGGCCUUCGGGUUGUAAAGCUCUUUUACCAGGGACGAUAAUGACGGUACCUGGAGAAUAAGCCCCGGCAAACUUCGUGCCAGCAGCCGCGGUAAUACGAAGGGGGCUAGCGUUGUUCGGAUUUACUGGGCGUAAAGGGCGCGUAGGCGGCAAUUCAAGUCAUCUGUGAAAUCUCCGGGCUUAACUCGGAACGGUCAGAUGAUACUGCUUUGCUAGAGUGCAGAAGGGGCAAUCGGAAUUCUUGGUGUAGCGGUGAAAUGCGUAGAUAUCAAGAGGAACACCUGAGGUGAAGACGGGUUGCUGGGCUGACACUGACGCUGAGGCGCGAAAGCCAGGGGAGCAAACGGGAUUAGAUACCCAAGUAGUCCCUGAGCGGGCUGGCAAGGCGCAU
rnacentral:rRNA from 1 species